AUUGAACGCUGGCGGAAUGCUUUACACAUGCAAGUCGAACGGCAGCACGGGGGCAACCCUGGUGGCGAGUGGCGAACGGGUGAGUAAUACAUCGGAACGUGCCCAGUCGUGGGGGAUAACGUAGCGAAAGCUACGCUAAUACCGCAUACGAACUGAGGUUGAAAGCGGGGGAUCGCAAGACCUCGCGCGAUUGGAGCGGCCGAUGGCAGAUUAGGUAGUUGGUGGGGUAAAGGCCUACCAAGCCGACGAUCUGUAGCUGGUCUGAGAGGACGACCAGCCACACUGGGACUGAGGCACGGCCCAGACUCCUACGGGAGGCAGCAGUGGGGAAUUUUGGACAAUGGGCGCAAGCCUGAUCCAGCCAUUCCGCGUGCAGGAUGAAGGCCCUCGGGUUGUAAACUGCUUUUGUACGGAACGAAAAGGCCCUCUCUAAUACAGGGGGCUGAUGACGGUACCGUAAGAAUAAGCACCGGCUAACUACGUGCCAGCCGCCGCAGUAAGAC
rnacentral:rRNA from 1 species